UACGUAGGGGGCAAGCGUUGUCCGGAUUUAUUGGGCGUAAAGAGCGUGUAGGCGGCCACACAGGUCAGCUGUGAAAACUCGAGGCUCAACCUCGAGACGUCGGUUGAAACCGUAUGGCUAGAGUCCGGAAGAGGAGAGUGGAAUUCCCGGUGCAGCGGUGAAAUGCGCAGAUAUCGGGAAGAACACCCGUGGCGAAGGCGGCUCUCUGGGACGGUACUGACGCUGAGACGCGAAAGCGUGGGGAGCGAACAGG
rnacentral:rRNA from 1 species